rnacentral:rRNA from 1 species
GACGAACGCUGGCGGCGUGCCUAAUACAUGCAAGUUGAGCGCUGAAGGUUGGUACUUGUACCAACUGGAUGAGCAGCGAACGGGUGAGUAACGCGUGGGGAAUCUGCCUUUGAGCGGGGGACAACAUUUGGAAACGAAUGCUAAUACCGCAUAAAAACUUUAAACACAAGUUUUAAGUUUGAAAGAUGCAAUUGCAUCACUCAAAGAUGAUCCCGCGUUGUAUUAGCUAGUUGGUGAGGUAAAGGCUCACCAAGGCGAUGGUACAUAGCCGACCUGAGAGGGUGAUCGGCCACAUUGGGACUGAGACACGGCCCAAACUCCUACGGGAGGCAGCAGUAGGGAAUCUUCGGCAAUGGACGAAAGUCUGACCGAGCAACGCCGCGUGAGUGAAGAAGGUUGUCGGAUCGUAAAACUCUGUUGGUAGAGAAGAACGUUGGUGAGAGUGGAAAGCUCAUCAAGUGACGGUAACUACCCAGAAAGGGACGGCUAACUACGUG